GUGGCUGUGAGCGUAGUUGGUUAACGUUCCUGCCUGUGACGCAGAUGACGUGGGUUCGAAUCCCACCAGCCACAC
rnacentral:tRNA from 1 species